AUGGUUUCGUGGAGCGACGACAACGAGGAAUCGGGCUACGAGUACUCUUCAGGCGGCUCCCCUAUCAAGAUCCCGGCUACAAUCGAGGACCCGAACUACUCUGGUGUUGGUGAGGUGGUGGUGAUGUGUGAGCAUGGCCAGCCAGCAAAGAGGCAUGUUUGCUUCUCAGGCAUUAGCACUGGGAGGAGGUUCCUUGCCUGUGGACUUGAUGAAGCAAGCAGCUGUGGUGUUGUUGAGUGGAAGAACAAGCUACAGGAGACUUAUGAGAAGCUUGUUGAGGAUGUGAACAACCUACUUGAUACCCAAGACAAUAUUCCCAAUGAAAAUGAAGUUCAACAAGGUGAACAUGAGGAGAUCACUCCUCCUUUGGACAACAAUAUUUCAGCUUUGAAGGAACGGCUGGGUGCAAUGGAUGCUGAGAACAAAGAACUGAAGCAAAAGGUUGACCAGUUGAGGAGCAUUCAGGUUGCCCAAGGUAAUGUGAUUAGGAAUCUGAAGUUUGCUCAUUUGAAGGAGAAGGAAAAGUUGAGCACUGAGAGGAGGAAUUUGGAGUUUCACAUUGCUGAUCUUGUCAAAGCUAGUGACAAGAACAAGAGAAAGCUGAAGGACAUCAAGGGUAUUUGUGAUGAAGAGUGA
rnacentral:rRNA from 1 species